rnacentral:rRNA from 1 species
GGCAUCGAUGAAGAACGCAGCGAAAUGCGAUAAGUAAUGUGAAUUGCAGAAUUCAGUGAAUCAUCGAAUCUUUGAACGCACAUUGCGCCCCUUGGUAUUCCGAGGGGCAUGCCUGUUCGAGCGUCAUUUCAACCCUCAAGCUCUGCUUGGUAUUGGGCUCCGUCCUCCGCGGACGCGCCUUAAAGACCUCGGCGGUGGCGUCUUGCCUCAAGCGUAGUAGAAAACACCUCGCUUUGGAGCGCACGGCGUCGCCCGCCGGACGAACCUUUGAAUUAUUUCUCAAGGUUGACCUCGGAUCAGGUAGGGAUACCCGCUGAACUUAAGCAUAUCAAUAAGCGGAGGAAAAGAAACCAACAGGGAUUGCCUUAGUAACGGCGAGUGAAGCGGCAAUAGCUCAAAUUUGAAAGCUGGCCCCUUCGGGGUCCGCGUUGUAAUUUGUAGAGGAUGAUUCGGCGAGGGCUCCCGUCUAAGUCCCUUGGAACAGGGCGUCAUAGAGGGUGAGAAUCCCGUAUGUGAUGGGCUGCCUUAGCCAUGUGAAUCUCCUUCGACGAGUCGAGUUGUUUGGGAAUGCAGCUCUAAAUGGGAGGUAAAUUUCUUCUAAAGCUAAAUACCGGCCAGAGACCGAUAGCGCACAAGUAGAGUGAUCGAAAGAUGAAAAGCACUUUGGAAAGAGAGUUAAAAAGUACGUGAAAUUGUUGAAAGGGAAGCGCUUGCAGCCAGACUUGUC